rnacentral:rRNA from 1 species
UGCAGUCGAACGCUGAAGGGUGCUUGCACCUGGAUGAGUGGCGGACGGGUGAGUAAUGCAUAGGAAUCUGCCUAUUAGUGGGGGAUAACGUGGGGAAACUCACGCUAAUACCGCAUACGAUCUACGGAUGAAAGCAGGGGACCUUCGGGCCUUGCGCUAAUAGAUGAGCCUAUGUCGGAUUAGCUAGUUGGUAGGGUAAAGGCCUACCAAGGCGACGAUCCGUAGCUGGUCUGAGAGGAUGAUCAGCCACACUGGGACUGAGACACGGCCCAGACUCCUACGGGAGGCAGCAGUGGGGAAUAUUGGACAAUGGGCGAAAGCCUGAUCCAGCAAUACCGCGUGUGUGAAGAAGGCCUGAGGGUUGUAAAGCACUUUCAAUGGGAAGGAAUACCUAUCGGUUAAUACCCGGUAGACUGACAUUACCCAUACAAGAAGCACCGGCUAACUCCGUGCCAGCAGCCGCGGUAAUACGGAGGGUGCGAGCGUUAAUCGGAAUUACUGGGCGUAAAGCGUGCGUAGGCGGUUGUUUAAGUCAGAUGUGAAAGCCCUGGGCUUAACCUGGGAACUGCAUUUGAUACUGGACGACUAGAGUUUAGUAGAGGGGAGUGGAAUUUCAGGUGUAGCGGUGAAAUGCGUAGAGAUCUGAAGGAACACCAGUGGCGAAGGCGGCUCCCUGGACUAAAACUGACGCUGAGGUACGAAAGCGUGGGUAGCAAACAGGAUUAGAUACCCUGUAGUCCACGCCGUAAACGAUGUCAACUAACCGUUGGGUUCUUAAAGAACUUAGUGGUGGAGCUAACGUAUUAUUGACCGCCUGGGGAGUACGGCGCAAGGCUAAAACUCAAAUGAAUGACGGGGGCCCGCACAAGCGGU